UACGUAGGGUGCGAGCGUUGUCCGGAAUUACUGGGCGUAAAGGGCUCGUAGGUGGUUUGUCGCGUCGUCUGUGAAAUUCCGGGGCUUAACUCCGGGCGUGCAGGCGAUACGGGCAUAACUUGAGUACUGUAGGGGUAACUGGAAUUCCUGGUGUAGCGGUGAAAUGCGCAGAUAUCAGGAGGAACACCGAUGGCGAAGGCAGGUUACUGGGCAGUUACUGACGCUGGAGGA
rnacentral:rRNA from 1 species